GGGGGAAUAUUGGACAAUGGGCGCAAGCCUGAUCCAGCAAUGCCGCGUGUGUGAAGAAGGUCUUCGGAUCGUAAAGCACUUUCGACAGGGACGAUGAUGACGGUACCUGUAGAAGAAGCCCCGGCUAACUUCGUGCCAGCAGCCGCGGUAAUACGAAGGGGGCUAGCGUUGCUCGGAAUUGCUGGGCGUAAAGGGCGCGUAGGCGGCUCUGUUAGUCAGGCGUGAAAUUCCUGGGCUUAACCUGGGGACU
rnacentral:rRNA from 1 species